AACGAACGCUGGCGGCAUGCCUAACACAUGCAAGUCGAACGAUUGCCUUCGGGUGAUAGUGGCGCACGGGUGCGUAACGCGUGGGAAUCUGCCCUUAGGUUCGGAAUAACAGCUGGAAACGGCUGCUAAUACCGGAUGAUAUCGCGAGAUCAAAGAUUUAUCGCCUGAGGAUGAGCCCGCGUUGGAUUAGGUAGUUGGUGGGGUAAAGGCCUACCAAGCCGACGAUCCAUAGCUGGUCUGAGAGGAUGAUCAGCCACACUGGGACUGAGACACGGCCCAGACUCCUACGGGAGGCAGCAGUGGGGAAUAUUGGACAAGGGGCGCAAGCCUGAUCCAGCAAUGCCGCGUGAGUGAUGAAGGCCCUAGGGUUGUAAAGCUCUUUUACCCGGGAAGAUAAUGACUGUACCGGGAGAAUAAGCCCCGGCGAACUCCG
rnacentral:rRNA from 1 species